GCCAUUCGUUAGGCUCAAAUUGGUCUGCUCCGAUUGAGUCGAGAGGGAGAGUCAGAGAGAAUGAUGAUGCUUAACGGAGGAGAAGACGAACAGAAAUGGUUCGCAGAGGGGAUCGCCGGCAUUCAACACAACGCAUUUUAGAUGGAUCGCGCUUUGGACGGGAACAACCUCAGAGAAGCUAUGAAGUACUCCGCUCAGACGCUGUUGGAGCUUUGAACUUCGAGUCUCUGUCCUCAAAAAUACUACGAACUCUGAAGCUGGAGAUGUUCUUCAAGGACGAAAGCAAGCAUGGCGUUACAGUCAUCGAUUUAUACGAACUCGUACAACAUGCUAGUAACAUACUGCCUAGAAUGACAAUGAUGAGGAGCAAAAACUCAGAUACUUGCAUUAGUUAUCAUAGAAGUUCUUCAUUGCUUGCUCUACACGCCCUUUGUAGCUUCCUGCUGUAUUUUUGCUAGAAUAAGCGAUGUAAGAAUGCCUUUGAAUUUUAGAUCUCUUUUGUGGCAGCUUCUUCAAAGUCGAACCUGAAAAACUGCUGGUUUUUGUUUUGAGUUUGACUUCUUCAGUUGCUUAUGUUUAAUAAGUAUUAAGACCCCCCCCCCCCUGGGUUCUGAUAUUAUUUCAUGCAUUAAAUGCUGUUUUCCAUUUCGAAACUGCACGAAGAAUUUUUGUCUAUGUGGGUGCAAGUGCAUAUAAAUCUUUGUGUAUUGACUUCGAAUCUGUAUUGUUGAUUUUUUUAUACUCUAAUGCUGUUUACGUGGUACAUAGGUGCUCUACGAUAUAGGAUUUGAUGUUAUUAGUGAAUAAUUGAUAAUCUACAUAUCUAGGCCGUAGAUUCCUAUCUAAUACUGUUAUACUAACUAAGUUUGAUGUUUACACUUACUUAUCUCCGAGCAUUUCCACCUAAAAUUUGUGUUGUUGUUUAAGAACAAAACAAAUUUUGAUAGCAGAUGUCAUCUCAUAUUCAGACAAUAACUUGAUGAAUUUGAUCUCUUUCAGAUCGUUAACUUUCAUUCUAGAUACUGAUGCUGUCAUGGAUGUUCAGAUUUAGUAAAUGUUGCAUAGCUCAUAUUUAGCCUGUUUUAAGGAACGAAACUUGUUUCCAGGACUCGAGGCCCAGGUGACAGCAAUACAUCUAAUUAUGAAUACUUUUGGUGUUGAGAACAUGGAUACUUUGACACAAAAGGUCACGGGUGUGAUGCUUGAGCCUUGAUCUAAUUUGGUUUUGCCAAUAUCUUUUCUUGAAUAUAUACACAUUCCUUUUGCCUCCUAUGGCCAGUAUUCUGCCAAGCUCUUGAAGAAACCUGAUCAGUGCAGAGCUGUUUAUGCUUGCUCACAUCUAUUUUGGGUUGAUGAUCAGGAUGCGAUCAAAGAUGGAAAAAGGUGCACUGCCUUUUGCUUAAAAUCCAUUCAAUAUUUUCUUUAUCCAAAAAACAAAAUGAUAAUGCUAACCUUUUAGUAUUGCUCUUGUUUUGGAAUGGUUACUCAUUAGUCAUAGAUGCGACCAGCCGACCCUAACUGAGGCUUUUGAUAAUCUUACGGUCCAGCUUUGAUGGCCAGUGUUACAAGGGGUAGUAGUGGGCCAGUCACACUGUUUGUUGAAAUACUAAACGAGUUGGUACUUUACUGUAUACCCUUUUGAAUGUGCUUUAGUUGCUGCUGUUUGAUUUAAUUACCAUUCAUUUAUGGGAUGCUUAAGGUAGGAAGAUAUCUCUACUUUUUUGAGAAGUACAGCCAUUCGUUGCAUUAAAUCACUAGUGAGAAAUAUGAUUCUUUUAAGGUCUGACUUUCUGGCAAUUUCACAAAUGAGGCCAACUAUGUUGAGCAAGCUGUUCAUUUAAUGGGGAAAAUGCUAGGGAAUGGCCGAAUUUGCCAUGUUGAAUGGCUCGCAUUUUGCCAGAGUACAGAGCAGGUAAGUAAACAUUGACGUCAUAUGUUCUCUAGUAAGAAUUCUUGUGAAUGGACGACUGGUUUGUGAAAUAGACAGUAAAAUCAAACUAGAGUGCAUCAGUCAUUGAAGUUGUGGAGUUCCAAUAAGUUGGAAGUUUGUGUUUCAUUUGAAACUCAUGAGCAUGUGGUA